GCGGUCCGCCACGGUUUAAAUCCUAUCCCUCUCAAGCCCUCUGAAGUCACAUUAAAUGGGAUAGGAUUCAGGAACUAAUUAAUUUAAACCUCACUGACCAGAAAAUGUAAUGUCUCUGUUUCAUAGCAGAGUUAUUGCUAAUCACACCAUUUAACAUGACGUUGAGCAACUAGAAUUUAAAAAAACAAAUGU